AAGACACUAGUAAAACAGUAAUUACACCGCUUUGUCAAGGCAGAGUCGUGGGUUAGACCCCCACGUGUCUUA
rnacentral:tRNA from 1 species